rnacentral:rRNA from 1 species
AGAGUUGAUCCUGGCUCAGGACGAACGCUGGCGGCAUGCCUAACACAUGCAAGUCGAACGGAGUAAUGACUUCGGUUAUUACUAGUGGCGAACGAGUGAGUAACACGUGAAUAAUCUGCCCUGUACGAUGGGAUAACAGCUGGAAACGGCUGCUAAUACCGUAUAUGACCACGCCGAGGCAUCUCGGAGGGGUGAAAGCGCUUAAGCGGUACAGGAUGAGUUCGCGUCCAAUUAGCUAGUUGGUGAGGUAACGGCCCACCAAGGCGACGAUUGGUAGCCGACCUGAGAGGGUGAUCGGCCACACUGGAACUGAGACACGGUCCAGACUCCUACGGGAGGCAGCAGUGGGGAAUAUUGGGCAAUGGAGGAAACUCUUUAACCCCCAGCAAUGCCGCGUGAGUGAUGAAGGUCUUCGGAUUGUAAAGCUCUUUGAUUGGGGACGAAUAAAUGACGGUACCCAAGGAACAAGCCCCGGCUAACUAUGUGCCAGCCGCUGC